GAAAUGCGAUACUUAGUGUGAAUUGCAGAAUUCAGUGAAUCAUCGAGACCUUGAACGCAACCUGCACUCGCCGGCCCACCGGCGAGUAUGCCUGUCCGAGUGUCGACUUACCGAUCUCCAAAGCCUUCCCCGCGAGGGAGCGGCGGCGGAGGAGCUGGGCGUCCGGAGCCGAGCGCGGGGCCGGUCGCCUGAAAUUCAGAGGGGAAGGGAGCUCGGCGACUCGCCGGGCGCCGCGGCAGACGGGUAUCCUCCGGGUGACUUCGUCGCGGCCUCGACGAGGGCGGCGUGCCCUUCCGACCGAGGGAAAAAGCUUCGGCUCGGGGAGAGGGAGACCUCUCUCGCACUUCACUUCACUUCGACUUCGACCUCGAAUCAGGCAAGACUACCCGCUGAAUUUAA
rnacentral:misc_RNA from 1 species